AGAGAUGCACUGGGCUUAAAGCGUGCGCAGGCGGUUUUGUAAGACAGAGGUGAAAUCCCCGGGCUCAACCUGGGAACUGCCUUUGUGACUGCAAGGCUGGAGUGCGGCAGAGGGGGAUGGAAUUCCGCGUGUAGCAGUGAAAUGCGUAGAUAUGCGGAGGAACACCGAUGGCGAAGGCAAUCCCCUGGGCCUGCACUGACGCUCAUGCACGAAAGCGUGGGGAGCAAACA
rnacentral:rRNA from 1 species